rnacentral:rRNA from 1 species
CCUACGGGUGGCAGCAGUGGGGAAUAUUGGACAAUGGGCGAAAGCCUGAUCCAGCCAUGCCGCGUGUGUGAAGAAGGCCUUCGGGUUGUAAAGCACUUUCAGUGGGGAAGAAAGCCUUGGGGCUAAUACCCUCGAGGAAGGACAUCACCCACAGAAGAAGCACCGGCUAACUCCGUGCCAGCAGCCGCGGUAAUACGGAGGGUGCGAGCGUUAAUCGGAAUUACUGGGCGUAAAGCGCGCGUAGGCGGUCUGAUAAGCCGGUUGUGAAAGCCCCGGGCUCAACCUGGGAACGGCAUCCGGAACUGUCAGGCUAGAGUGCAGGAGGGGAAGGUAGAAUUCCCGGUGUAGCGGUGAAAGGCGUAGAGAUCGGGAGGAAUACCAGUGGCGAAGGCGGCCUUCUGGACUGACACUGACGCUGAGGUGCGAAAGCGUGGGUAGCAAACAGGAUUAGAUACCCCAGUAGUC